CCCUUAGAUGUUCUGGGCCGCACGCGCGCUACACUGAAGCGUUCAACGAGUAUUCACCUUGCCCGGGAGGGUUGGGUAAUCUUUUGAAAACGCUUCGUGAUGGGGAUAGAUUAUUGCAAUUAUUAAUCUUCAACGAGGAAUUCCUAGUAAGCGCGAGUCAUCAGCUCGUGCUGAUUACGUCCCUGCCCUUUGUACACACCGCCCGUCGCUCCUACCGAUUGAGCGAUCCGGUGAAUAAUUCGGACUGCAGCACUGCUUGGUCUCCAGGCUUUGCAGCGGAAAGUUUAGUGAACCUUAUCACUUAGAGGAAGGAGAAGUCGUAACA
rnacentral:rRNA from 1 species